rnacentral:lncRNA from 1 species
GAACUCAGAAAUCCACCUGCCUCUGCCUCCCAAGUGCUGGGAUUAAAGGCGUAUAUGCCUUUGAGGUCUUAAGGAGAGCCUGGGAAUGGAAAGGGAUCCCUGCUGUUCUGGAGACGCUGGUGCCUCAAUGAAAUGACUGGAGUCAUUGGCUGGAGUCUAGACAACAGGUUGUACGUGCUGCCAAGAGCAGAGCUGAGAGCUGAGCGCUGAUCCACAGAGGAGCCCAGAGGAUGGAGAUUUCUACUCAGCUGACAGACCCUAUCUAGAAAUGAGCUGUGGACCAGAAACUCUUCAAAUGUCUGGGCUUGUUGAAAGCCGGUGUGAACCAGUCCAUAUUGCUCCUGAAAAGGUCAGCUCAGGAACUUGGGGAAGGUCAUGGAACACUUGCCCCUCCAGAAGGGAAAGGCUAAUUGACAUUCCUCAGACCACAUCCCUCCCACAGGGCGGGAACCAACAGGACAGACU